GCCCAGGUAGCUCAGUUGGUAGAGCACUGCACUGAAAAUGCAGGUGUCGGUGGUUCAAUUCCGCCCCUGGGCACCA
rnacentral:tRNA from 4 species